rnacentral:rRNA from 1 species
CAAUAGCGUAUAUUAAAGUUGUUGCGGUUAAAAAGUUCGUAGUUGGAUUUCUGCCAAGGACGACCGGUCCGCCCUCUGGGUGAGUAUCUGGCUUGGCCUGGGCAUCUUCUUGGAGAACGUUGCUGCACUUCACUGUGUGGCGCGGUACCCAGGACCUUUACUUUGAGGAAAUUAGAGUGUUUCAAGCAGGCUUUCGCCUUGAAUACAUUAGCAUGGAAUAAUAAGAUAGGACCUCGGUUCUAUUUUGUUGGUUUCUAGAGCUGGGGUAAUGAUUAAUAGGGAUAGUUGGGGGCAUUCGUAUUUAACUGUCAGAGGUGAAAUUCUUGGAUUUGUUAAAGACGGACUACUGCGAAANCANNNGCCAAGGAUGUUUUCAUNGA